CAUGGCCCUUAAGGAAGCUGCAGCUGCUUCCACAUAGCUGCUGGGGUCACAAAGGAGCCUAGAGCGAGUUUUCCUUGACGGUGGCCCGUCUCUUUGCUGUAACUGAUCUGCAGCAGUUCGGCUAAAGAUUGUC